UGGCGAACGGGUGAGUAACGCCCCGGAACGUGCCUUGUAGUGGGGGAUAGACUGGCGAAAGUCAGAGUAAUACCGCAUGAAGCCACGCAGCAUGCGCGGUGAAAGUGGGGGAUUCUAGCCUCACGCUACUGGAUCGGCCGGGGUCUGAUUAGCUAGUUGGCGGGAUAAUAGCCCACCAAGGCUGAGAUCAGUAGCUGGUCUGAGAGGACGGUCAGCCACACUGGAACUGAGACACGGUCCAG
rnacentral:rRNA from 1 species